UCUCCGUUGGUGAACCUGCGGAAGGAUCAUUAUAGGAUUUUGAAACUUCAGGCUGCUGCUGGCUCUCCUCGGAGGGCAUGUGCACGCUUGUUGUCCAUUAUUUCUCCCACUGUGCACAAAUUGUAGACCUUUCAGUAGGCCUAUGUUGUUUUUCACAAUCUCUGAAUGUAAUAGAAUGGUUUUGAAUCUUGGGAAAUACAAUACAACUUUCAGCAACGGAUCUCUUGGCUCUC
rnacentral:misc_RNA from 1 species